rnacentral:rRNA from 1 species
AGUGAACGCUGGCGGUAGGCCUAACACAUGCAAGUCGAACGGCAGCACAGUAAGAGCUUGCUCUUACGGGUGGCGAGUGGCGGACGGGUGAGGAAUACAUCGGAAUCUACUUUUUCGUGGGGGAUAACGUAGGGAAACUUACGCUAAUACCGCAUACGACCUACGGGUGAAAGCAGGGGAUCUUCGGACCUUGCGCGAUUGAAUGAGCCGAUGUCGGAUUAGCUAGUUGGCGGGGUAAAGGCCCACCAAGGCGACGAUCCGUAGCUGGUCUGAGAGGAUGAUCGGCCACACGGGAACUGAGACACGGUCCAGACUCCUACGGGAGGCAGCAGUGGGGAAUAUUGGACAAUGGGCGCAAGCCUGAUUCAGCCAUACCGCGUGGGUGAAGAAGGCCUUCGGGUUGUAAAGCCCUUUUGUUGGGAAAGAAAAGCAGCAGGUUAAUACCCCGCUGUUCUGACGGUACCCAAAGAAUAAGCACCGGCUAACUUCGUG